GACAAAAGGGUUUCAACUACUGAUCAUGCUGAAUUGGAAUUUUUGUUGGCAUUUAGUUUGUGAAAUAUAUUUCGUUUUAGGAUAUUUGUGGAUUAGGUUUGAAAUGUUUAUGUAAGCAAAUUCUCUUGAGUUAAUGUGGUGCCAAAAAUACAGGACAGGAUUAAAGACAAAGCUUGGUCUGCCACUUGAACCAAAAGCCUAAUUGCUGAAUCACUUGCUGGAGCUUAAUAAGCAAUAGCAUCGCUCAAGGUUGGAAAUUGUAGGAAGAGUAGAAGGAAGAAGGCAGUAAAAUGCCACCAAAUACCAUGUUUUGUGGGAUUACCAGACCAAGUGAGAUGCAUAAGUAGCUGUCUGCAAUUGUUAAUGGCCACGGUUGAAACAUGGAGGUCAGAAACAAUCCACGAGUCUUCCUGGCUUUCAGCUCCUGUUUCUGUUGUUAACUUGAUAGAAUUUUCCCAAAAGAGAAACUGAUCGAUUACCUGGACUACUAUUUUCCCACUUUCAGUACAAUUUUUCCACCUUUUUGGGUGUUCUAUAGCAACAGACAGGUGAUAAUAUGCCAUACAAA